UGGGGAAUAUUGGGCAAUGGAGGAAACUCUGACCCAGCAAUGCCGCGUGAGUGAUGAAGGUAUUUUAUUGUAAAGCUCUUUUCUCGGGAACGAAUAAAUGACGGUACCUGAGGAAUAAGCCCCGGCUAACUACGUGCCAGCAGCCGCGGUAAUACGUAGGGGGCGAGCGUUGUCCGGAAUGACUGGGCGUAAAGGGUGUGUAGGUGGUUUGCUAAGUUAGAUGUGUAAUACCCAGGGCUUAACUCGGGUGCUGCAUCUAAAACUGGCAGACUUGAGUGCUGGAGAGGAUAGCGGAAUUCCUAGUGUAGCGGUGGAAUGCGUAGAUAUUAGGAGGAACAUCAGUGGCGAAGGCGGCUAUCUGGACAGUAACUGACACUGAGGCACGAAAGCGUGGGGAGCA
rnacentral:rRNA from 1 species